CACAUGCAGUCGAACGAGCGAGAGAGAGCUUGCUUUCUCAAGCGAGUGGCGAACGGGUGAGUAACGCGUGAGGAACCUGCCUCAAAGAGGGGGACAACAGUUGGAAACGACUGCUAAUACCGCAUAAGCCCACAGGUCGGCAUCGACCAGAGGGAAAAGGAGCAAUCCGCUUUGAGAUGGCCUCGCGUCCGAUUAGCUAGUUGGUGAGGUAAUGGCCCACCAAGGCAACGAUCGGUAGCCGGACUGAGAGGUUGAACGGCCACAUUGGGACUGAGACACGGCCCAGACUCCUACGGGAGGCAGCAGUGGGGAAUAUUGCACAAUGGGGGAAACCCUGAUGCAGCGACGCCGCGUGGAGGAAGAAGGUCUUCGGAUUGUAAACUCCUGUUGUUGAGGAAGAUAAUGACGGUACUCAACAAGGAAGUGACGGCUAACUACGUGCCAGCAGCCGCGGUAAAACGUAGGUCACAAGCGUUGUCCGGAAUUACUGGGUGUAAAGGGAGCGCAGGCGGGAAGACAAGUUGGAAGUGAAAUCUAUGGGCUCAACCCAUAAACUGCUUUCAAAACUGUUUUUCUUGAGUAGUGCAGAGGUAGGCGGAAUUCCCGGUGUAGCGGUGGAAUGCGUAGAUAUCGGGAGGAACACCAGUGGCGAAGGCGGCCUACUGGGCACCAACUGACGCUGAGGCUCGAAAGUGUGGGUAGCAAACAGGAUUAGAUACCCUGGUAGUCCACACCGUAAACGAUGAUUACUAGGUGUUGGAGGAUUGACCCCUUCAGUGCCGCAGUUAACACAAUAAGUAAUCCACCUGGGAGUACGACCGCAAGGGUUGAAACUCAAAGGAAUUGACGGGGGCCCGCACAAGCAGUGAGUAUGUGG
rnacentral:rRNA from 1 species